UCCGGUGGCGAUAGCGGAGGGGAAACACCCGUUCCCAUUCCGAACACGGUCCACAAGGGCCCCCAGACGGUCGCAAGACCGGCUGGGGUGCUAGUUAAGCCCUCCAGCGCCGAUGGUA
rnacentral:rRNA from 1 species